rnacentral:snRNA from 1 species
AUACUUACCUGGUGCCGGGGCCUCGUUGAUCACCGAGGGCGAGCCUCCAGGGCGAAGCGCAGGCAUUGCACUGCACUCGCGUUGACCCUUGUCACUACCUCAAACUGGGGUAGAUGGGGAAUGCAAAUUGCUUAAACCCGGUUGGACGCAAGAGGGGGCGCCACCGCC